CCUACGGGCGGCUGCAGUGGGGAAUAUUGCACAAUGGGGGAAACCCUGAUGCAGCGACGCCGCGUGAGUGAAGAAGUCAUUCGUUAUGUAAAGCUCUAUCAGCGGGGAGGAAAAUGACGUUACCUGAGUAAGAAGCCCCGGCUAACUAUGUGCCAGCAGCCGCGGUAAUACGUAGGGGGCAAGCGUUAUCCGGAUUUACUGGGUGUAAAGGGAGCGUAGACGGCAGUGCAAGUCUGCAGUGAAAGGCGGGGGCUCAACCCGCGGACUGCUCUGGAAACUGGACGGCUGGAGUGCAGGAGAGGUAGGUGGAAUUCCUGGUGUAGCGGUGAAAUGCGUAGAGAUUAGGAGGAACACCAGUGGCGAAGGCGGCUUACUGGACUGUAACUGACGUUGAGGCUCGAAAGCGUGGGGAGCAAACAGGAUUAGAUACCCGUGUAGUC
rnacentral:rRNA from 1 species